rnacentral:rRNA from 1 species
UACGUAGGGGACGAGCGUUGUCCGGAAUUAUUGGGCGUAAAGAGCUCGUAGGCGGUGUGUCACGUCGGCCGUGAAAACCUGCAGCUUAACUGUGGGCGUGCGGUCGAUACGGGCAUCACUGGAGUUCGGCAGGGGAGACUGGAAUUCCUGGUGUAGCGGUGAAAUGCGCAGAUAUCAGGAGGAACACCGGUGGCGAAGGCGGGUCUCUGGGCCGAUACUGACGCUGGAGGAGCGAAAGCGUCGGGGAGCAAACAGG